rnacentral:lncRNA from 1 species
ACGAAUACUUAGUCCUUGAUUACACAGCUACAACGACUGUUGGAGUGCCCGGUAAAAGAUUCCAAAAUGAUACCAAGAAAAAUGUGCAAAACGUUUGCAGUUUCAAAAAAGUACUAAGUUGAACGAAGAAAAAACAGGAAGUUACAACGAUGACAACAAUUAAUGCAGUAAGCCUUCAAAAGCCAAUUCACGUACCAUCUGACUUCAGGAUCUGAAAGUUGACCAAGGGCUGCUUCCACAAAUCACAGCGGCCUCUGGAACACCGUAACAUGGAAAGAAAGAGCGAAAGAAAGAAGAAGACGACAAUGGAAGGUUGGAGAAUAUUUAAGUGAAGCUGCCGAAAGAAGUUUCCCACUUGCAGUAGUGAUCCAGUUUGACUUGGUAGACUCCACCAGAUAUCGACAAGAGCGAGAAAGGCUAUUCCGAAGCAAACAAGACAUAUACACCCCAAAGUUUUGGGCUUGGAUCGAUGUGCCACAAAAUUUCAACAGCAAGGAUGGGAGGAGAUGAGACCAAGAGAAGAGCAUUCAUUCACGCAAGAAAGUUGGCAUAUCGGAGGCCAAAGACGAGGGGUUUUAUAGAGGAUGAAGAGAUGCACACAGUGCAUGCCGUCUGUGUCCAUGAAUCCAUGAUCGAACAUGGGCGAGAACGGCUUUUCG